rnacentral:lncRNA from 1 species
UAAGAUAGUUAAAACAGGGAUUGCAUGUAUUUCCUCACAUUCAAAUGUAUUUGCCUGAAUUCAGACAGCAGAAGUUCAGAUAGAGUUACCAUAGUUCAUAUUUGGUUUCUAGGGUUUGGAUGAGAAAGCCAAAGAAUAUGUUGUCAAGAGGUGAGAAACUAGAGAAUCUGUUAAAAUUUUCUAAAUAUAUUCAGCUCUUAAGUUGUUAAACUCUGCAGUAACAUGAACUCGGCCUAGACUCUUUCUAAUGGUAGGUUGUUCAUUAGAUUCAAUAUUUUCUUAGGUCAAGAAGAGAGAGAACAUGUUAUUUCUGUUUUAGGUUGUCUUUUUUUUGCUAUUAUUUAUAUCUCCAUAACCUUGCUUAUUUGUAUCUGCUUGAUGCAUCAAAUUCUCAUGCAAAAUUCCCCACUGUGGCUAUGAUUUUUAUAAUGAUUACACCUGUCUUUGUCAGAGCUUUGCUUUAUAUAUUUUGCUGCUGUAGUUUUUGGUGUACAGGAAUUCACUAAUUAUACUUGAAGAUGUCACAAUUUGCCUCUUUUCCCUGCUUAACAGUCUUGAUCUUGAAUUCUGCUUAUCUGAUUGUGAUUCUGCCAUUUCUGCUUUCUGUUUGCUUACAUUUGCCUGGUGUAAUUUUCCACAUCCUUUAUUUUCAAACUUUCUUUAUCAUUCUGUUUUAGGCGUGUUUCUUGCCUAUGACAUUGGGCAAGGUAUAUCUGUUAGGAUAAUUUGGGUUGCAAAUAAUGUGCACUGGUUUCCAAAAAUAGAGGAGGAUGUAUUUGCUCUUAUAAUGUUGCAGGAUAGGUUUUGUUUUCAAGCAUGGUUUGUUUCAGUUUUGAUGCUUGAUUUCUCUCAGUUCACUCAGUUCUGUGUUCCUUUGUGUGUUAGACUAUUUUCUCUCCUGGGAGCAAAAUGGCCACAGAGGCCCAGGCCUCCCAUGUGUUUAUACCUCAAAGUCCAGAAAAUGAGAAAACUUCUCUUCUGAAAAUCUUGAAACUCUUUAAUCACAUGUCAAACCCUAAAAAAAAAAAAAAAUUCACUGUGACCGGUGAUGUGCCAUGCCGCAUUGCGUUUGGGCCUGUAUUACUCAUCUUCGAACCAACCACUUUGGUGGGGAGAUUAAUAUUAUGAUAAAAGGUUCCUUUGGGUGAAUUAAAGCUCAAAGCCUAAAAUUGAAAUUUAAGAUUAAUUCCCAUCCGAGCCAGUGAGCCAGUGUUCAAGAGAACAGAGUAGAUAAGUAUUGUAAAGAAGUUACCACAGUUCUCAUUACUGGAUAACAACGUAAUUCUUUAUCUUCAAAAGGUAAAUGAAUAAACUAACAGAAUGUACCAGAAAAAAAUAAGAAAUAAUAAGUAAGAUUGCUAUUGCAAUAUUAAUGUUGAGAAGUAAAAAAUCAGGAGUUUCCCUAUCACAAAUCAUAACCAAUUAGAAAAUAUAACUGGGAGUUCCAUUGUGGCUCAGUGGAUUAUGAACCCAACUAGUAUCCAUGAAGAUAUGGGUUCAAUCCCUGGCCUCAGUUAAUUGGUUAUAGGAUCUGGCAUUGCUGUGCCUGUAGCUGUGGCUGGCAGCUGCACCUCCAAUUUGACUCCUAGCCUGGGAACGUCCAUAUGCCAUGGGUGUGGCCCU